CCAGAGCCUGAAUCAGUGUGUGUGUUAGUGGAAGCGUCUGGAAAGGCGCGCGAUACAGGGUGACAGCCCCGUACACAAAAAUGCACAUGCUGUGAGCUCGAUGAGUAGGGCGGGACACGUGGUAUCCUGUCUGAAUAUGGGGGGACCAUCCUCCAAGGCUAAAUACUCCUGACUGACCGAUAGUGAACCAGUACCGUGAGGGAAAGGCGAAAAGAACCCCGGCGAGGGGAGUGAAAAAGAACCUGAAACCGUGUACGUACAAGCAGUGGGAGCACGCUUAGGCGUGUGACUGCGUACCUUUUGUAUAAUGGGUCAGCGACUUAUAUUCUGUAGCAAGGUUAACCGAAUAGGGGAGCCGAAGGGAAACCGAGUCUUAACUGGGCGUUAAGUUGCAGGGUAUAGACCCGAAACCCGGUGAUCUAGCCAUGGGCAGGUUGAAGGUUGGGUAACACUAACUGGAGGACCGAACCGACUAAUGUUGAAAAAUUAGCGGAUGACUUGUGGCUGGGGGUGAAAGGCCAAUCAAACCGGGAGAUAGCUGGUUCUCCCCGAAAGCUAUUUAGGUAGCGCCUCGUGAAUUCAUCUCCGGGGGUAGAGCACUGUUUCGGCAAGGGGGUCAUCCCGACUUACCAACCCGAUGCAAACUGCGAAUACCGGAGAAUGUUAUCACGGGAGACACACGGCGGGUGCUAACGUCCGUCGUGAAGAGGGAAACAACCCAGACCGCCAGCUAAGGUCCCAAAGUCAUGGUUAAGUGGGAAACGAUGUGGGAAGGCCCAGACAGCCAGGAUGUUGGCUUAGAAGCAGCCAUCAUUUAAAGAAAGCGUAAUAGCUCACUGGUCGAGUCGGCCUGCGCGGAAGAUGUAACGGGGCUAAACCAUGCACCGAAGCUGCGGCAGCGACGCUGAUGCGUUGUUGGGUAGGGGAGCGUUCUGUAAGCCUGCGAAGGUGUGCUGUGAGGCAUGCUGGAGGUAUCAGAAGUGCGAAUGCUGACAUAAGUAACGAUAAAGCGGGUGAAAAGCCCGCUCGCCGGAAGACCAAGGGUUCCUGUCCAACGUUAAUCGGGGCAGGGUGAGUCGACCCCUAAGGCGAGGCCGAAAGGCGUAGUCGAUGGGAAACAGGUUAAUAUUCCUGUACUUGGUGUUACUGCGAAGGGGGGACGGAGAAGGCUAUGUUGGCCGGGCGACGGUUGUCCCGGUUUAAGCGUGUAGGCUGGUUUUCCAGGCAAAUCCGGAAAAUCAAGGCUGAGGCGUGAUGACGAGGCACUACGGUGCUGAAGCAACAAAUGCCCUGCUUCCAGGAAAAGCCUCUAAGCAUCAGGUAACAUCAAAUCGUACCCCAAACCGACACAGGUGGUCAGGUAGAGAAUACCAAGGCGCUUGAGAGAACUCGGGUGAAGGAACUAGGCAAAAUGGUGCCGUAACUUCGGGAGAAGGCACGCUGAUAUGUAGGUGAAGUCCCUCGCGGAUGGAGCUGAAAUCAGUCGAAGAUACCAGCUGGCUGCAACUGUUUAUUAAAAACACAGCACUGUGCAAACACGAAAGUGGACGUAUACGGUGUGACGCCUGCCCGGUGCCGGAAGGUUAAUUGAUGGGGUUAGCGCAAGCGAAGCUCUUGAUCGAAGCCCCGGUAAACGGCGGCCGUAACUAUAACGGUCCUAAGGUAGCGAAAUUCCUUGUCGGGUAAGUUCCGACCUGCACGAAUGGCGUAAUGAUGGCCAGGCUGUCUCCACCCGAGACUCAGUGAAAUUGAACUCGCUGUGAAGAUGCAGUGUACCCGCGGCAAGACGGAAAGACCCCGUGAACCUUUACUAUAGCUUGACACUGAACAUUGAGCCUUGAUGUGUAGGAUAGGUGGGAGGCUUUGAAGUGUGGACGCCAGUCUGCAUGGAGCCGACCUUGAAAUACCACCCUUUAAUGUUUGAUGUUCUAACGUUGACCCGU
rnacentral:rRNA from 1 species